rnacentral:rRNA from 1 species
UACGUAGGUGACAAGCGUUGUCCGGAUUUACUGGGCGUAAAGAGCGCGCAGGCGGUCGAUCAAGUCGAGUGUGAAAGCCCCCGGCUCAACUGGGGAGGGUCAUUCGAUACUGAUCGACUCGAAGGCAGGAGAGGGUAGUGGAAUUCCCGGUGUAGUGGUGAAAUUCGUAGAUAUUCGGAAGAACACCAGUGGCGAAAGGCGACUCACUGGACAUGUAUUGACGCUGAGGUACGAAAGCGUGGGGGAGCAAACAGG